AGCCCCUGUGUGGCUGUUUGUCUGACAUGGGGACAAAGACGUGGAGAUGGAUGCUAAAACUAAAUCCUCUUCUGCAACCCAAAACUCAAUGCUCUGUACGAGUUCUGAUACAGAGAAGGAGGAACAUG